UUGCUCGGAACUGCACAGAGGAUGCUUAUGUGCAAUAUCUCGAGGAGCCUGAGCCGAUUGCUUCGAAGAUGUCUGAAUUUGUAUCUUUGGAAGAGCCUUAGUCUUGCGUGGCUUUCAAGUUGUGACUUUUCCAAGUACUCGAGAAAAUUUCUAAAGUCUUAUGAAUGAUCUUGUCUUUAGCUAAUCUUUGUAGUCCAGGGGAGCAAGUCUGAGUUUAGCCAAGUAGUCGUAUUGUCUGUUGCGGACGUCAAUUUAUUGUUGUUGCUGUUGAAAGU
rnacentral:lncRNA from 1 species